rnacentral:tRNA from 1 species
GCGCCCAUAGCUCAGUCGGAUAGAGCAACUGCCUUCUAAGCAGUGGGUCGCAGGUUCGAGUCCUGCUGGGCGCG